rnacentral:lncRNA from 1 species
AAAAAACAAACUUACGAAAAAGUUCAACUAACAUUGGAUCAAAUAUUAUGAAAAAUCCAUUUGCAACAUUAAAAUCAACAACUAGGGAGUAGUGACCAAAAACAACUUUUUAUGUCGAAGUCAGACAAGAAUACAAUAAGAAUCCGUAAACAAAAAACUCAUCAAGAAAGAAAUCAAAUAACCAUUGCAAGCUUAUACAUUCCAAGUUAAAGUAUUCGCCUAUAAAAUGAAUUCAUGAUCAACAACAUCAUUUUUCAUAUUACCCAUAAAACAACACAGUACCCAUUAUUAGCCUAAAGAAAUAAAAAUUCAUCAAGAAAGAAAACGAAAGGAGCAUUGCAAUUUUAUAUAUCCCAAGUUACUGCAAUCGCCUAAAACUUGAAGUAGUCAGCAACAACAGUUUUUUAAAUUUACGCAUUACCCUUAGGCCGUAACAAGGUAAAUUGUUAUUUAAAAUGUGGAGAUUCUCUUAUUUUCCAUGGGAAGCUAACAUGUGACUAUUUAUGCGAAAAUCAUUCUCCUAGCUACAAACUUGAAAUUAAAGUUGCACAAAAAAAAUCUUAUUUUCAUAUAUUUCAGUGGCACAAAUAUGAAAUUCACCAACAAAAAACUUAAAUUCUAGACUUACACGUUUUUCUUCUGUUUAAUCCAACUUGAAUUCGAAGAUAUAGAUUCUUGAGAAAGAUUCUGUAGAAGACGGCUUCACUAAGGGGUUUUCCCUUUUCAAUUUAGUAGAAGACAGUGGAAAAUUGAAAAUCUUUUGGGGCAUGAGUUAUCUGGGUUUAUAAUGUGGAUCGUCCGGUUCACUCAAAUUUGGUCCAGCGGGUCAACCCGACGGUUCAAAUGGGUGGAUAAUGGGUUAAUUGCAUAUUGAAACAAUUGAGUCACCAG